AGGUAUCUAGUCUAAGCAAGACCUUUGGUUUCGACCCAAAAAAUUCUGGCUCUGCCAGAGCAACCUA
rnacentral:tRNA from 1 species